GAUUUCUGGCUUGAAACAUUUUGCCGGCCACGGUUUCGUGUGUUAGUGCUUGAUGUUCUGGCCAUCCUUCCAAUCGCUAUUGGUUACUCUUCAUUGAGUGGUCAGUAGUAUUGGAUCUUUUACUUUGAAAAAAUUAGAGUGUUUCAAGCAGGCUUUAUGCUAUGAAUACAUUAGCAUGGAAUAAUAAUUUAGGACUUUGGCCCUAUUUUGUUGGUUUCUAGGACUGAAGUAAUGAUUGAUAGGGAUAGUUGGGGGUGCUCGAAUUCAGCGGCCAGAGGUGAAAUUCUUGGAUUCGCUGAAGACGAACUCAUGCGAAAGCAUU
rnacentral:rRNA from 1 species